rnacentral:lncRNA from 1 species
AAUAUGUAGGUUUAAUCAUGUUUAUUUAAACAUAGACAUAUAAAAUGUACAAGGUAAACUUUCUUGGAUGAUAUAUUUAAGGAGAGGAUCAAAAUUUGCACACACCUCCCUCAUCACGGGGUCAUCAUGCUGGUCUGUGCUUGUCAACAAGGCUACACAUGGAAAUGCAGGAGGCAGAGCAGACGCCCCUGAAACAUUUAGGGAGGCUCUCCUCCUUGAGCUGUCCAACUUGGGGAAGUCAUUUUCUUAGGUGGAAGGCACUGGAAUCAUUGGGACUUUUCCCUAGGUGUACCACCCCAUUGGCUUACAAUAAGCAUUUAAUUCUUUUCCCAUUGUCUGCAGGUCAGCUG